GUGUGGCCGGUGUCACCAUCAGCGCUUGUUGGGGGGCCUCCCGGGACCCCCCACUUCCGAAUUGGGCGUGGCAGUGAGAGGGACUGUUCCCUACGUGACGGGAGGGGCGGUGGUCGUUCUAGGCUCAGCCCAGGCUUAGGGGUCUGAAGGUCACCUGAUGAGCCGAUGCCACAAAACCCCAGGCUCUCCAUCCCGAGCCCACCCCCCCUUACCAAGGAAGCUGCUAGAGGGGGUGCUCUGUCAAAAUGAGAGAAUAAACCAAGAGGAAGGCGUCAGAUCCUGGAACCAGGGGCUCCAACUAGUGUUGCAGUGGAAUACAGGAUUCAGAAUCCAGACACAAGCUCUCCACAGGGAAGUACAUGCACUGUGCUUAUUUUAAAGAGAGAGAGUGUCCAUCAUCUUGCACCUAGGAGAUCUACUGUAACCACCUUCUCAGCAACGGUAGAUGUUGGAAGGGCCAUGUCUGCAGUCCUCAAGACAGCGUGAUGCCCAGGAGGGAAGGUGCCCUGCCUUGCUCAGGAUCCCAGUGGAACAGCACCUGCUCAGAAAGCUGCCCAGGCCCACCUUCCCCAGGGAGAAUUCUGUGUUCCAGGCCAUCCCCUUCCGGAAGACGGUUCUGCUUAGAUUUGUCAGGGAAGGUGGUUAAGCAAUGCAGACAACAAAAGUGGGCCCCAAACCACAGACCCUAGAAGAGAAGGAGAAGAUGACACUCUGGAAGGUGAGCAGUUCUGUCUACCCAGCAGGCAUCAGUCUAACCUGCAAUCAGGAGCCUGGACGCAAAGCUUGUCUCUGAUACAAACUGGCUCUACAGCUUUGGGAAACUCACCCAACCUCUCUGAUCCUUUAAAAUCAUGCUUUGUAAAAGAAUAAUCAUGCCAAUCUUCUAGUGUUAGUUAAGGAUUACAUUUGUAUGAGUUUUACAAAGUGGAAAAUGCCAUGGGAUUAUAAGCUGAUUAUAAAUUUAUCUGCCUAAAGUAACCA